GAACUUGUGGUGCAAUGGUAGCAUGACUGACUCGAUAUCAGAUGAUGCGUGUUCGACUCACGCCAAGUUCA